rnacentral:piRNA from 1 species
UGUUAUUCGGUGCACCAUUUUCUUUUUGU